rnacentral:lncRNA from 1 species
CUUGUGCCACGGUGGCCCAAAUGUCAGUCAACCAGACAUGUCUUCUGAGAGGUAAGUUUUUGAAAAAUACUAGACUUUUCUCAAAUGUAUUUCUUUACAGGAAUAAAAAGAAAGCUAAUUUUGCAUGAGCAUGCAGGAAGUCUGCAGACAGACAUUCUACAUAGUCCCUUGGGGACUCAGUAGAAGUGGAAUCAAGACCAACCCAAGCCCAACAAGGCAGCUCCGCUGGUUAAUGCCUCCCAGAUCUGUCAUCUGUGAUAAAGAGCCUCGCUGUAGCUGAGGAGCUGGCCAAGAACCUUUCCCAGUUAGCCAAGUUCGUGAAGAAGUCACAUGUGGUGAAUAUAUUAUCAUCAGAAUGCGGAGCAAUGAAAUGUAAACAGAUAGGAAUCGUCACUAAAGCUCCAACUGCAGCCUCCGGGUGCCAUAGCUUUUGCACCAUCCAUUUGCACCAUCUCUGCAGUAAGUCCUAGCUCAAGCCUUACUCCAAAGUACAAAUUAGCAUAGCAGCUCAGUCAACAAUGCCUCCGAGCUUCUGGAAAGAAAGAUGCUCAGUCACCAUAGACCCAGAAUUAAUGAAAAGUCACAGAAAUAAUAGCUCCAUUCUCUACUUGCUUCUGAACCUCAAAUCAGUGGUUGGCAACAAGGAUGUCUGCAUCAUCUGUAUUGACCUGCUCCCCAGAUUAAUACCGAAGCACUGCAAUUUCUUGAGGAUUAUCCACCUAGGAGGAAAUGAUACGCUGGCCCAUCCAUAGUAGUCAAGGUUUCUUGGAAGAGAAGAAUGAGAUUGGAUCUGAGAAAAUGUGGCUGGUAAUGAACUCUACGAAGGGAUUUUUAUACUCUCUCUUUGGCAGUCCAUCCUGUGAAAUAAUAAUGAGGUUGGAGGAUGGCUGCUAACCAUCCCUUGCUUUUCCGUGCCAGGGAACCACCAUCUCAGAUGGUAGAAACCACUCAGAAGGAUCAACUGCUGCAGACGGGAAGAGGAGCAACCUCGUGAAUAAUUUCGUGACAGGAUAUUGCAGGAGGGACUUUGUCCAAAUGUGUGCAGGGUAGUUGGCUACAGCAACAAGGAUGACGAACACAGAUGAAUUGAUCAGGAUGUAACCAUUCAAAGUUGAGAGGAUUAGAGGACUUCUCCGAGGCGGCUCCAAUGGAUGCCAGCAGAGUUAAAGUGUCCAAUGGAGAGAAGAGAAGGCUUGGGAAAUCCAGAGUCCAUUCAUUCAUCGCCCUCCUCCUAGAACAACAAAAGCGAGCCCCAGUACUCAUCAGCAUGGACUCUGUGUGUAGUCAUCUCCCUUAGUUUCAGAGGUUCCUGCCUACAGCAAAACUUUAGAGGCUUAGAGUUUAACGGUCAUAGCUUAUUCACCUCCAACUGUGUCCUAGUUCAAGAGAAACACUUCACAUAUCUGUAGGGAGAAGAUAAUGAACCAAGGAUACAAGUUAAGCCUUAGCUAAGACCUGUUACUCAGGAAAAAGAGCUAAAACAAGCUGCUUAGAUCAGCACCAAUGUUAGGUAGAGAGAAAAAGAAACGCUGCAUAGAAAUCUUAAGGUUCACAUGUGCUCCAGGCUGGGUCAACAACUUCUAAUUUCCUUUGCCAACCAACCAUGUCUUUGACAGAAAUGAUCCUUCUACAUAGACCACAGAGGGAUCCAAUGGAGGUUUCUCUUCCUGAAUUUGGGGAUUCAGAAUCUGGACAAAUUCCUUUCCAUCAAAGUCCAGUACAAAAGUAGUACCAUGGCAGUCCCUGCAGGGACUUGCAUCACUUUCCCUAGAGAUAUCAAGAGAAUUUUUAGUGAUAAGAAUAUGGCACAAAAUGAGAAAUCCCAUUACUCUUAAGAGAAUCUCUUCCUUCUCAAAGGCACCUGAUUAAUACAUAUAGUACUAUCAGUAAGGCUGAGCAAAAGGAUACUGAUGUUCUGAGUGAUCUUAAAUCAUGUAAUAAUAACUUUAUUCGUAGUAUAGAACGGAAUAUUCCCUAUUAGUAAUCAGUUCCUUUGCCAGAUCCUCAUAGUAUCUUAGUCACUGUUUUAUUGUUAUGAAGAGAAACUUUGACCACAGCACCUCUUAGAAAAAAGGAAGCAUUUAAUCGGGACUUCCUUAUGGUUUCACAGUUUUACAUAAUUGUCAACAUGGCAGAGAACAUGGGGGCACGCAAACAGACAUGGUGCUGGAGAAGUAGCGGAGAAUAUACAGCAACAUAUAGAUACAAAAUAUAGAUACAUAUAGAUACAGAAUAUAGAUACAUAUAGCUACAUAUAGAUCUGCAGGCAGCAGGAAGAGACUGGGACAAGGCCAUACCUUCUAAGGCUUCUCAAGGAGUGUCACUUCCUGAUGACCAAGCAUUCAAGUGUAUGAGCUUAUGGGAGCCAUUCUUAUUCAAGCCACCACACAUAGCAAAGCUGAUAAUGUCAUUUUCUGAAUUAACCAGGCCAAGGCACACUUCUUAGCAACAUGGUUACCUGGUAACCAGAGAUUUUUCUCAUCCCAUGAGAGAUUUCAUUCAAGAACUGAUCUUCUAACAGUUUUGUCUCUCUUAAGAAUGCUACAGACAGGGUGGGGUGAGGCACAGUGCUGAAGCCCCUCAAGUUUCCCAGAGGGAUGAGUCCAUGAAAGACGAAAAUCAUGUGGUCACACUGAGCAUAGACUUCACAAGCAUCAUGCUAGGAUUCCAUUUUCUUUCUCAACACAAUGAUAAAUUCUUCUUCCAAUAAGCAGAAAAUCAUCCAAUGGGAAAAAAAAAUAAAACCAACUAACUUGCAGUCCUUUGGAACAGUUUCAUAGCUUACAGGAUGGCUUCAUAACCCUGGGGACACUCGUUUUGACAUGAAAACUUCCUUCAGAACAGGAAUUCUGAUCCAACAUGUGCUCAGACAUCAUUUCAGUCACUUGCAAAUGAACAAGAAAGCUCAUGUAAAUGAGGAGGCUCAACUCCCAGGCCUGGUGAGUGGGUAAGACAUUCCUCUGCUGGGUUUUGAAGGCUGUCUGAAACCAUCGGCUGACAUCCUUCUCUGUGUGCAUGUAUGCACUAUCUACGGGAAAUUCAGCUCCAACCGGUUGUCUCUACAGCUCCCUUAAUCUUCUCCUCCCUCCUCCUGGCAUUGGCAUGUGUCCCAGGACUGCAGCGAGGAGUGCUUACCAACAAAGGUGCUGGCAUCUGCAUUUGUUUCACAGCCACAAACCUAAUGGUUCCAUGAUUUUGGCGAGCAAAACUGUCAAAAUGCCUGAGCACAAGAGAUCACAAGAUGAGCCAAGGCAUAGUGUGCAUGCCUUCCUUCCCAGCACUCGGAAGGCAGAGGCAAGGGGAUCUCUGUGGGUUCAAGGCCAGCCUGAAUCACAAGGUGUACUGGGGAUUCUUUUUUAUUGUUUUCCUUUUGCUAUCUGGAAUAGUUUGAGAUUGUAUUUGAUCAGUGCAUUAAACAAC